rnacentral:lncRNA from 1 species
GCCACCAAUACAAAUGGACAGCCAAGAAAUAGCUGCAAGUGCUUACGUGACAUUCAGCACAAUCAACAUUAUCAAUCGUGUUUUCAUUAUUGAGUGCCAUAAUAUUUUAAUUAAGAUUCAUGAUCAUCUUAAAGAUGUUAAAAUCAGAAAACCUUUUUCCUAUCACAUGCUGAGAUUGGAGCCAACUGAACUGGUAUUUCUUUUUUGUCAGAAUAAAAGAAAUUAUAUGUACCAGUAUAUAUAAAAAUACAUCAAUAACAAACUUUAUAACAAUUUUACAUAUACACAACCCAAAAGUUUCAGAUGAAUGAAUC